rnacentral:rRNA from 1 species
UACGGAGGGUGCGAGCGCUGUCCGGAAUCAUUGGGCGUAAAGGGCGCGUAGGUGGCCCGGUCAGUUCGUGGUGAAAGCGCGGGGCUCAACCCUGCGUCGGCCAUGAAUACUGCCGCGGCUGGAGCACUGUAGAGGCAGGCGGAAUUCCGGGUGUAGCGGUGGAAUGCGUAGAGAUCCGGAAGAACACCGGUGGCGAAGGCGGGUCUCUGGGCCGAUAUUGACGCUGAGGAGCGAAAGCGUGGGGAGCGAACAGG